GACGAGCGCUGGCGGCGUGCCUAAUACAUGCAAGUCGAGCGCAGGAAACUGACGGAACUCUUCGGAGGGAAGGCAGUGGAAUGAGCGGCGGACGGGUGAGUAACACGUAAGGAACCUGCCUCAAGGAUUGGGAUAACUCCGAGAAAUCGGAGCUAAUACCGGAUAGUUCAACGGACCGCAUGGUCCGCUGGUGAAAGGCGCUCCGGCGUCACCUUGAGAUGGCCUUGCGGUGCAUUAGCUAGUUGGUGGGGUAACGGCCCACCAAGGCGACGAUGCAUAGCCGACCUGAGAGGGUGAUCGGCCACACUGGGACUGAGACACGGCCCAGACUCCUACGGGAGGCAGCAGUAGGGAAUCUUCCACAAUGGACGAAAGUCUGAUGGAGCAACGCCGCGUGAGUGAUGAAGGUUUUCGGAUCGUAAAACUCUGUUGUAAGGGAAGAACACGUACGAGAGGGAAUGCUCGUACCUUGACGGUACCUUACGAGAAAGCCACGGCUAACUACGUGCCAGCCGCCGCAGUAACAC
rnacentral:rRNA from 1 species